rnacentral:rRNA from 1 species
AUUGAACGCUGGCGGAAUGCUUUACACAUGCAAGUCGAACGGCAGCACGGGGGCAACCCUGGUGGCGAGUGGCGAACGGGUGAGUAAUACAUCGGAACGUGCCCAAUCGUGGGGGAUAACUACGCGAAAGCGUAGCUAAUACCGCAUACGAUCUACGGAUGAAAGCGGGGGAUCGCAAGACCUCGCGCGAAUGGAGCGGCCGAUGGCAGAUUAGGUAGUUGGUCGGGGUAACGGCCCACCAAGCCAACGAUCAGUAACUGGUGUGAGAGCACGACCAGUCACACGGGCACUGAGACACGGGCCCGACUCCUACGGGAGGCAGCAGUAAGGAAUAUUGGUCAAUGGACGCAAGUCUGAACCAGCCAUGCCGCGUGAAGGAUGAAGGCCCUCUGGGUUGUAAACUUCUUUUAUCUGGGAAGAAAUUGCUUUGUUUUUUAAACGUAGUUUGUACGGUACCAGAGGAAUAAGCACCGGCUAACUCCGUGCCAGCCGCCGCCGUAAC